UUCUGGCUCAGGAUGAACGCUGGCGGCGCGCCUAACACAUGCAAGUCGAACGGUUAAAGCGACCUUCGGGUGUGUAUAAAGUGGCGAACGGCUGAGUAACACGUGGGCAACCUGCCCCUCGCACCGGGACAGCCUCGGGAAACCGUGGUUAAUACCGGAUACGCCCCCCUUGAGGACAUCCGUCUCGGGGGGAAAGCCCCGACGGCGAGGGAUGGGCCCGCGGCCUGUUAGCUAGUUGGUGGGGUAACGGCCCACCAAGGCCACUAUGGGUAGCUGGGUUGAGAGACCGACCAGCCAGAUUGGGACUGAGACACGGCCCAGACUCCUACGGGAGGCAGCAGUGGGGAAUCUUGCACAAUGGGCGAAAGCCUGAUGCAAGCGACGCCGCGUGCGGGAUGAAGGCCUUCGGGUUGUAAACCGCUUUCAGCAGGGACGAGGCCGCGAGGUGACGGUACCUGCAGAAGAAGCCCCGGCUAACUACGUGCCAGCCGCCGC
rnacentral:rRNA from 1 species